rnacentral:rRNA from 1 species
AUUGAACGCUGGCGGCAGGCCUAACACAUGCAAGUCGAGCGAGCGGCUGACGGGUGAGUAAUGUCUGGGAAACUGCCUGAUGUAGGGGGAUAACUACUGGAAACGGUAGCUAAUACCGCAUACCAUCAUAUGUUCCCAGAUGGGAUUAUCUAGUAGGUGGGGUAACGGCUCACCUAGGCGACGAUCCCUAGCUGGUCUGAGAGGAUGAACAGCAACACUGGAACUGAGACACGGUCCAGACGUCUAAGGGAGGCAGCAGUGGGGAAUAUUGCACAAUGGGCGCAAGCCUGAUGCAGCCAUGCCGCGUGUGUGAAGAAGGCCGUCGGGUUGUAAAGCACUUUAAGCGGGGAGGCGUUACCCGCAGAAGAAGCACCGGCUAACUCCGUGCCAGCAGCCGCGGUAAUUC